rnacentral:rRNA from 1 species
GAUGAACGCUGGCGGCGUGCCUAAUACAUGCAAGUCGAGCGAACAGACGAGGAGCUUGCUCCUCUGACGUUAGCGGCGGACGGGUGAGUAACACGUGGAUAACCUACCUAUAAGACUGGGAUAACUUCGGGAAACCGGAGCUAAUACCGGAUAAUAUAUUGAACCGCAUGGUUCAAUAGUGAAAGACGGUUUUGCUGUCACUUAUAGAUGGAUCCGCGCCGCAUUAGCUAGUUGGUAAGGUAACGGCUUACCAAGGCAACGAUGCGUAGCCGUCCUGAGAGGGUGAUCGGCCACACUGGAACUGAGACACGGUCCAGACUCCUACGGGAGGCAGCAGUAGGGAAUCUUCCGCAAUGGGCGAAAGCCUGACGGAGCAACGCCGCGUGAGUGAUGAAGGUCUUCGGAUCGUAAAACUCUGUUAUUAGGGAAGAACAAAUGUGUAAGUAACUAUGCACGUCUUGACGGUACCUAAUCAGAAAGCCACGGCUAACUACGUG